rnacentral:tRNA from 1 species
GCGGGAGUGCCGGAGUGGUCAAAAACUUUUCAUUGAGAAGUUGGCUUAACGGGCUAGGCUUAGGACCUAGUGACUUAGUGUCUACGCAGGUUCGAACCCUGUCUCCCGCA